rnacentral:ncRNA from 1 species
ACAUUUGUUGAUAGGCAGGAAGACCGAGGCUUUGCAGAGUGUCUCGGAAGCAUAGAGGAAAAAUUUCCCGAAGUCCAUGGCCUUGAUCAUGCCUAUAUUUGAGGGUCAUUCUAUCAUGUCAUAAGAUUUCCCAAAAAUCAAUCUCAAUGAAGAGGGUGCUGAAAUCAAGGAAACAUUUGAGGGCAUUCCAUAACUUUUUCCCCUUCAAGCAAUAUCACCGACAACCUUCCAUCCAAAGUCAACAAAAUUGAAACCCAUUUUUGAGAGUUGUUGGUGCCUCAUCCUAUAACUGACGACAACAUUAGGAAAUAUGGAGACGUCAUCGGGGGCCCCGAGAAGACUUAUCUUUUCUUUUUAACAGCUUGCCCACCCUGAAAUAGACUCAACCGGAGAUAGGGUCCUAUAGUUGGAAGAGCAUCACACGUCUUGCGGUGUCCGGUACGCCCUCAGCGAACCUUGAAAAUUUGGAGGACUGAGUACCGUCCAUGCUCGGUCGUACUCAUAAUCGCAUCAGGUCUCCAAGGUGAACAACCUCUGGUCAAUAGAACAAUGUAGGUAAGGGAAGUUGGCAAAAUGGAUCCAUAACUUUGGGAAAAGGAUUGGCUUUGAGGGAUGGGCCUAGGGGUCUGUGUCCUCAACCCGUGGGCUUUCGAAAGUCUACCCGUGGGACUGUCAUUGAUUAUUUCUACCUCCCUUUGAAUGGUAGUGAAACUAAUUAAUGCUACCUAUUUUUGAAUGGUAGAGCACCACCUAUCAUUCAUGAUCCAACACAUAGUAGUCAAGAAUCCCAUCCAUUGUUAAUUGUUGGGCUCUAAAGAUGUCCUAAAAAAAACCUUAGUUUAACAUUAAUUUAUCAACCCGAGGAUUCAUAUUCUAUUUCAAGAAUAUCAGCAAAGUCUAUGCAGAUAGCUUGUAGAGGCUAAAAUCGCGUAUCAAAUCUGAGUUUAUCAACAAUCAAGUUCCUCACACAUUCAUUA